rnacentral:rRNA from 1 species
AUUGAACGCUGGCGGCAGGCCUAACACAUGCAAGUCGAGCGGAUGAAGGGAGCUUGCUCCUGGAUUCAGCGGCGGACGGGUGAGUAAUGCCUAGGAAUCUGCCUGGUAGUGGGGGAUAACGUCCGGAAACGGGCGCUAAUACCGCAUACGUCCUGAGGGAGAAAGUGGGGGAUCUUCGGACCUCACGCUAUCAGAUGAGCCUAGGUCGGAUUAGCUAGUUGGUGGGGUAAAGGCCUACCAAGGCGACGAUCCGUAACUGGUCUGAGAGGAUGAUCAGUCACACUGGACCUGAGACACGGUCCAGACUCCUACGGGAGGCAGCAGUGGGGAAUUUUGGACAAUGGGCGAAAGCCUGAUCCAGCCAUGCCGCGUGUGUGAAGAAGGUCUUCGGUUUGUAAGCACUUUAAGUUGGGAGGAAGGGCAGUAAGUUAAUACCUUGCUGUUUUGACGUUACCAACAGAAUAAGCACCGGCUAACUUCGUG